UCUGUCACCCGUCACAUGGGAAAGGAGG
rnacentral:piRNA from 1 species